GGAUUAGAUACCCUAUUAUUUUAAAUGUAAAGUUGUAGAAUUAGAGUAGUACUAGUUAUGGUCUUGAAACUUAAAGAAUUUGGCGGUAUUUUAGUCUAUUUAGAGGAAUCUGUCCCUUAAUCGAUAGUCCACGUUGAACCUUACUUAAUUUAGGUAUGUAUACCGCCGUUGAUGAAAAUCUUUAUAGGGUGAAUUUCUUGAUUUUUUAUUAGUAAAAAUUUCAGGUCAAGGUGCAGCUUAUAGUUAAGUGGAGAUGGAUUACAAUAUUAUCAGAUAAACGAAUUUUUGUAUUAAAAUUGGAAUGAAGGUGGAUUUAAUUGUAAAUUUGUGAAGAUUUUCAGGUUGAUAAAAGCUCUAAGAUGUGCACACAUCGCCCGUCACUCUCGUU
rnacentral:rRNA from 1 species